rnacentral:rRNA from 1 species
AUUGAACGCUGGCGGCAGGCCUAACACAUGCAAGUCGAACGGCAGCGGGGGAUAGCUUGCUAUCCUGCCGGCGAGUGGCGGACGGGUGAGUAAGGCAUGGGGAGCUGCCCAAUCGAGGGGGAUAACAACUGGAAACGGUUGCUAAUACCGCAUACGCCCUGCGGGGGAAAGGUGGGGACCAUUUGGCCUACCGCGAUUGGAUGCACCCAUGUGGGAUUAGCUGGUUGGUGAGGUAACGGCUCACCAAGGCGACGAUCUCUAGCUGGUCUGAGAGGAUGACCAGCCACACUGGAACUGAGACACGGUCCAGACUCCUACGGGAGGCAGCAGUGGGGAAUAUUGCACAAUGGGGGAAACCCUGAUGCAGCCAUGCCGCGUGUGUGAAGAAGGCCUUCGGGUUGUAAAGCACUUUCAGUCAGGAGGAAGGGGAGCAGACUAAUAUUCUGUUUCAUUGACGUUACUGACAGAAGAAGCACCGGCUAACUCCGUG